AUGAUUACCUUAGAUAAUGAUUACCUCGUCACACUACUCCUACUGCUCUCCUCGACAAAUGCAUUCCAGAUCACGACAUGCGACUGCAACAAGCCAAGCGGAGUCGGACUCCUCCAAUUUUCCGAUGGCUCCUGUGAACCUGCCACACGCAAUUCGAAUACGAAAGUCGACUAUCGAGUCAUGACCGACAAAAAGGCAGCUUUUUACUUCCCGGGAUACAUCUGUGGUAGAUGGAAAUCAAUUAAGCAUAUCACGAUCAAUUUCCUAGGAAAAGUUAUUACCGUUCCGGAACGCAUCGCCAUGGAAACGACGGUGGUAGAGUGUGAUAUAAUGAGACAGUCGAGGCGAUGCAACGAGAGCCCAAUAAUGAAAUCAGAAAACAAAUGGAUAUUUAACCAAGAACCGGAGGACUUCGGAUAUUGGCUAAGAACCCCCACUGUGGUUACAGUCAGCUGUAUGUUAGAAGAAGUCGUCCUUUCCCGAAUUGACGAAGGAGACAUGAUAAACACGCCACUAGGAAAAACCAACGUAUCCCAUGGAUCCCUAUCCCAUAACCAUCUAACAUUAUUUUGGAUAGACACCUACGGAAAACCAACUGAUAUCGCAAUCCGACAAUUAGAGAAAGGCGUGGGAAUCUGGUACGAAUCUUCAACGAACGGGACUUGAAUCCUCCAAGACGACUCCAAACAGUUGGACUUUCACUAUUUGGAGGACGCCGCCAUCCGUCACGAAAAUGAACUUAUCCGCGUCAUUCAGAGCAUGCAGUGCGACCAACGACGUGCUAAACACGCACAAGCCGUGUCAACUGCCCAAUACAAUGGAUGGCUGGCAGCCGCACAGCUGGGUCUUCGGCAAUGCAUCAAACUGAUCGCCACCGGAAACAUCGUCUCAGCCCUACAAUGCACCCCUACUACAGUAAAUUUCACGACGGAUACAACCACUUGUGGACCUCAACCGCGGUUCAACAAUAUCACCAUUGGCCGGUCCGCUUGGGAACUCACUGCUUUCACGCCAUGCUACUGGGCCGGAGGUAUCGUGAAUUUUAACGAAAAAACUCACGCCUAUCGCAAUAACACGUGGAAACCGGUCAAAGCAUCCGUCAUCAUCCCACAGCGCGAUUUGGCUGACGCUUUCCGAUAUAAAUACGUCAACUUCUUCGAACACCAACAUCAAACCAAUCCCGCUUAUACGGAAGUCCUCAUUAGCCCGAUGGAUAUAAUGGCCGAUAUCACAGCCUCCAUGAACGAACACUCCCUGACUGUCCCCAAUCAAAUUACAGGGACAUCGGCUAUCGUCGUAUCCGCAGCCGAAAAAGCAGGUCUCGGAACCUUUACCAAUUGGUUCGAGAAUUUUAAAGUCUACUCAUUCAUCAUCCUGCUCAUCGCUAUCUUCCUACUGAUCGCUCGUGCUUGUUACGCCCUCGGAUUUUGUGGUUUGAUAUGGAAAUGUUGUUUUAAGCCCCCACGUCCUCCUCCUACGGCGGUUUACCAGCCGAGAAGCAGCCGACCCACAGGUCCCUGA